GACGAACGCUGGCGGCGUGCCUAAUACAUGCAAGUCGAACGCAGUGGGGACGGGUGAGUAACGCGUAGUUAACCUCCCCUCAGAGGGGAUAACACUUGGAAACAGGUGCUAAACCGAUACUGAUGGAUGAACCCGCGGUGCAUUAGCUAGUUGGGGAGGUAACGGCUCACCAAGGCAACGAUGCAUAGCCGACCUGGUAGGGUGAUCGGCCACACUGGGACUGAGACACGGCCAAGACUCCUACGGGAGGCAGCAGUAGGGAAUUUUCGGCAAUGGACGAAAGUUUGACCGAGCAAGGCCGCGUAGGUGUAGAAGGUUUUCGGAUCGAAAGCCCCUGUUGUUAGAGAAGCGGUAUCUAAACAGAAAGCCACGGCUAACUACGUGCCAGCAGCCGCGGUAAUUC
rnacentral:rRNA from 1 species